ACACGUGGGUGACCUGCCUCGAAGACGGGGAUAACCACUGGAAACGGUGGCUAAUACCCGAUGGUCUCGAUAAUUCGGUUUAUCGAGUAAAGGCUCCGGCGCUUUGAGAGGGACCUGCGGCCCAUCAGCUAGUUGGUAGGGUAAUGGCCUACCAAGGCAAAGACGGGUAGGGGGCGUGAGAGCGUGACCCCCCACACUGGCACUGGGACACGGGCCAGACUCCUACGGGAGGCAGCAGUGAGGAAUAUUGCGCAAUGAGCGAAAGCUAGACGCAGCAACGCCGCGUGGGUGAUGAAGGCCUUCGGGUCGUAAAACCCUUUUCUGGGGGAAGAGUAAGGACGGUACCCCAGGAAUAAGCCUCGGCUAACUAUGUGCCAGCAGCCGCGGUAAUACAUAGGAGGCAAGCGUUAUCCGGAUUUACUGGGCGUAAAGAGCGUUGAGGCGGCUUCGUAAGUUGGACGUGAAAGCUCCCGGCUUAACUGGGAGAGGCCGUUCAAUACUGCGGGGCUUGAGGACAGCAGAGGGGGGUGGAAUUUCCGGUGUAGUGGUGAAAUGCGUAGAUAUCGGAAGGAACACCAGUGGCGAAGGCGGCCCCCUGGGCUGCUCCUGACGCUGAAGGCGAAAGCUAGGGUAGCGAACGGGAUUAGAAACCCCGGUAGUCCUAGCCGUAAACGAUGGAUACUAGGUGUAGGAGGUUAAAAUUCCUUCUGUGCCGGAGCUAACGCGUUAAGUAUCCCGCCUGGGGAGUACGGUCGCAAGGCUAAAACUCAAAGGAAUUGACGGGGGCCCGCACAAGCAGCGGAGCGUGUGGUUUAAUUCGAUGCAACGCGAAGAACCUUACCAGGGCUUGACAUGUAGGUAGUAGUGAAGCGAAAGCGGAACGAUCCUUCGGGAAGCCUACACAGGUGCUGCAUGGCUGUCGUCAGCUCGUGCCGUGAGGUGCUAGGUUAAGUCUUGCACCGAGCGCAACCCCUGUCCGUUAGUUACAAGUGUCUAUCGGGACUGCCCGGCAAAACUGGGAGGAAGGUGGGGAUGAGGUCACGUCAGCAUGGCCUUUAUGUCCUG
rnacentral:rRNA from 1 species